CAGCAGCCGCGGGAACACCGAGGGUGCAAGCGUUAAUCGGAAUUACUGGGCGUAAAGCGCACGCAGGCGGUCUGACAAGUCAGAUGUGAAAUCCCCGGGCUUAACCUGGGAACUGCAUUUGAAACUGGCAAGCUAGAGUCUUGUAGAGGGGGGUAGAAUUCCAGGUGUAGCGGUGAAAUGCGUAGAGAUCUGGAGGAAUACCGGUGGCGAAGGCGGCCCCCUGGACAAAGACUGAUGCUCAGGUGCGAAAGCGUGGGGAGCAAACAGGAUUAGAUACCCGAGUAGUCCCUGUCUCUUAUAC
rnacentral:rRNA from 1 species